UACAGAGGUCUCAAGCGUUGUUCGGAUUCAUUGGGCGUAAAGGGUGCGUAGGCGGCGCGGUAAGUCGGGUGUGAAAUUUCGAGGCUUAACUUCGAAACUGCAUUCGAUACUGCCGUGCUUGAGGACUGGAGAGGAGACUGGAAUUUACGGUGUAGCGGUGAAAUGCGUAGAUAUCAGGAGGAACACCGGUGGCGAAGGCGGGUCUCUGGGCCGAUACUGACGCUGAGGAGCGAAAGCGUGGGGAGCGAACAGG
rnacentral:rRNA from 1 species